rnacentral:rRNA from 1 species
GACGAACGCUGGCGGCGCGCUUAACACAUGCAAGUCGAACGGAAAGGCCUGCUUUCCCUUGUGGAUUGCGGGUACUCGAGUGGCGAACGGGUGAGUAACACGUGAGUGAUCUGCCCCCAACUUGGGUAUAAGCCUGGGAAACUGGGUCUAAUUCCCGAUAGGACUGCAGGGUGGUGCCUGUGGUGGAAAACGAUUUUCUAGUGGUUGGGGAUGAGCUCGCGGCCUAUCAGCUUGUUGGUGGGGUAAUGGCCUACCAAGGCGGCGACGGGUAGCCGGACUGGGAGGGUGGACGGCCGCAUUGGGACUGGGAUACGGCCCAGACUCCUACGAGAGGCAGGAGUGGGGAAGAUUGCACAAUGGGCGGAAGCCUGAUGCAGCGACGCCGCGUGGGGGAUGACGGCCUUCGGGUUGUAAACUCCUUUCGACCGCGAGGAAGCCACCUGGUUGGAAGGGUGGUGACGGUAGUGGUAGAAGAAGCACCGGCUAACUACGUG